UACAGAGGUCCCAAGCGUUGUUCGGAUUUACUGGGCGUAAAGGGUGCGUAGGCGGUCGGGUAAGUCUGGUGUGAAAUCUUCGAGCUUAACUCGGAAACUGCAUUGGAUACUAUUCGGCUAGAGAGUUGGAGGGGGGAUUGGAAUACUUGGUGUAGCAGUGAAAUGCGUAGAUAUCAAGUGGAACACCAGUGGCGAAGGCGAAUCCCUGGACAACUUCUGACGCUGAGGCACGAAAGCUAGGGGAGCAAACAGG
rnacentral:rRNA from 1 species